rnacentral:tRNA from 1 species
UUUUUUAUGGUGUAACUUCAAACACAUUACAUUUUCGAUGUAAAGAUGAAGAUAUUUAUCUCUUCUAAAAAUG